UACAGAGGUCUCAAGCGUUUGUUCGGAUUCAUUGGGCGUAAAGGGUGCGUAGGUGGCGCCGUAAGUCGGGUGUGAAAUUUCGGAGCUUAACUCCGAAACUGCAUUCGAUACUGCGGUGCUUGAGGACUGGAGAGGAGACUGGAAUUCAUGGUGUAGCAGUGAAAUGCGUAGAGAUCAUGAGGAAGACCAGUGGCGAAGGCGGGUCUCUGGACAGUUCCUGACACUGAGGCACGAAGGCCAGGGAGCAAACGGG
rnacentral:rRNA from 1 species